GGGCCCGCACAAGCGGUGGAGCAUGUGGUUUAAUUCGAUGAUACGCGAGGAACCUUACCAAGGCUUAAAUGUAGGAGGACAGGCUGUGAAAACAGCCCUUCUUCGGACCUCCUACAAGGUGCUGCAUGGUUGUCGUCAGCUCGUGCCGUGAGGUGUCGGGUUAAGUCCCAUAACGAGCGCAACCCCUAUCUUUAGUUGCCAGCGGUUCGGCCGGGGACUCUAAAGAAACUGCCCGCGCAAGCGGUGAGGAAGGUGGGGAUGACGUCAAAUCAUCACGGCCCUUACGUCUUGGGCUACACACGUGCUACAAUGGUAGUGACAAUGGGCAGCCACCCCCGCGAGGGGG
rnacentral:rRNA from 1 species